rnacentral:tRNA from 1 species
GGGUGUAUAGCUCAGUGGUAGAGCAUUCGACUGCAGAUCGGAAGGUCCCAGGUUCAAAUCCAGGUGUCCCCU